rnacentral:rRNA from 1 species
GACGAACGCUGGCGGCGUGCUUAACACAUGCAAGUCGAGCGGUAAGGCCCUUUCGGGGGUACGACGAGCGGCGAACGGGUGAGUAACACGUGGGUGACCUGCCCUCAGCUCUGGGAUAAGCCUGGGAAACCGGGUCUAAUACUGGAUAUGACUCCAUGACGCAUGUUGUGGGGUGGAAAGCCUUGUGCGGCUGAGGAUGGGCCCGCGGCCUAUCAGCUUGUUGGUGGGGUGANGGGCCCUACCAAGGCGACGACGGGUAGCCGGCCUGAGAGGGCGACCGGCCACACUGGGGACUGAGACACGGCCCAGACUCCUACGGGAGGCAGCAGUGGGGAAUCUUGCGCAAUGGGCGAAAGCCUGACGCAGCGACGCCGCGUGAGGGAUGA